AUUGAACGCUGGCGGCAUGCUUUACACAUGCAAGUCGAACGCGAAAGCGGGGCGAACCCUCGCCGGUAGAGUGGCGAACGGGUGAGUAACACAUCGGAACGUAUCCUCGCGUGGGGACGAACCAGUCGAAGACGGGCGUAAUACCGCAUACGCUGGAGACAGGAAAGCAGGGACCCGGCAAGGCCGUUGUGCGCAUGGAGCGGCCGAUGUCUGAUUAGCUA
rnacentral:rRNA from 1 species